GGUCCUGACUCGCUCCACUGGUAGCGCAUGGCAUUACUAUUGCCAGCAGGGUUAGGGGUUCAAUUCCCACCGGGACCA